GCCGAUGAGAGUGGCGCACGGGUGCGUAACGCGUGAGCAACCUGCCCAUGUCAGGGGGACAGCCCGUCGAAAGACGGAUUAACACCGCAUGAAGAUACCAUCCGGCAUCGGGAGGUAUCCAAAUAUUGAUAGGACAUGGAUGGGCUCGCGUGGCAUUAGCUAGUUGGUGCGGUAACGGCGCACCAAGGCGAUGAUGCCUAGGGGCUCUGAGAGGAGAAUCCCCCACACUGGUACUGAGACACGGACCAGACUCAUACGGGAGGCAGCAGUAGGGAAUAUUGGUCAAUGGGCGGGAGCCUGAACCAGCCAUGCCGCGUGCGGGACGAAGGCCCUACGGGUCGUAAACCGCUUUUACACGGGAACAACCGCAGCUACGUGUAGCUGUCUGAGUGUACCGUGGGAAUAAGGAUCGGCUAACUCCGUGCCAGCAGCCGCGGUAAUACGGAGGAUCCGAGCGUUAUCCGGAAUUAUUGGGUUUAAAGGGUGCGUAGGCGGCAUUUUAAGUCAGGGGUGAAAUACAGCGGCUCAACCGUUGCAGUGCCUUUGAUACUGAAGUGCUUGAAUAGGGCCGAAGGAGGCGGAACGGGACAAGUAGCGGUGAAAUGCAUAGAUAUGUCCCAGAACCCCGAUUGCGAAGGCAGCUUCCUAGACCUUUAUUGACGCUGAUGCACGAAAGCGUGGGGAUCGAACAGGAUUAGAUACCCUGGUAGUCCACGCCCUAAACGAUGGUGACUCGAUGUUAGCGAUAUAAUGUUAGCGUCCAAGCGAAAGCGUUAAGUCACCCACCUGGGGAGUACGAUCGCAAGAUUGAAACUCAAAGGAAUUGACGGGGGCCCGCACAAGCGGAGGAGCAUGUGGUUUAAUUCGAUGAUACGC
rnacentral:rRNA from 1 species